CCUACGGGUGGCAGCAGUGGGGAAAAUUGCACAAUGGGCGGAAGCCUGAUGCAGCGACGCCGCGUGAGGGAUGACGGCCUUCGGGUUGUAAACCUCUUUCAGCAGGGACGAAGCGCAAGUGACGGUACCUGCAGAAGAGGCGCCGGCCAACUACGUGCCAGCAGCCGCGGUAAGACGUAGGGCGCGAGCGUUGUCCGGAUUUAUUGGGCGUAAAGAGCUCGUAGGCGGCUUGUCGCGUCGACUGUGAAAACCCACAGCUCAACUGUGGGCUUGCAGCCGAUACGGGCAGGCUAGAAUUCGGUAGGGGAGACUGGAAUUCCUGGUGUAGCGGUGAAAUGCGCAGAUAUCAGGAGGAACACCGGUGGCGAAGGCGGGUCUCUGGGCCGAUAUUGACGCUGAGGAGCGAAAGCGUGGGGAGCGAACAGGAUUAGAUACCCCAGUAGUC
rnacentral:rRNA from 1 species